CAUUUCCCUUGUGGCUGCAUAGGCAGGAAGCAGGUGGCAGGGAGCGGACCCACAGCAUCCCCCACAGCGGGCCCUGGGGUUGCCACCAACCAUGGCUGGGAGCUGCUCUCAUUGACUGCUCAGUGGCUCUGUGGCUCUGGGAACCGGACCUCCUCUUAAACCUGACAAAGAAUUCAAGGGCUUGUGCUGGGGCUGCCAGCUGCUCUUCUGGUGCCCUGAGGACGAAGAAGGGAUCUGAAGGGAAGAUCGUCACCCUCUCGCAUAUGUUUCCGCUCAGCAUGAGAGAGACAAGGGGAGAUCCCAGUUCCAGGAACACCUGGCCAGUGUGUCACCUGUUUCUUGGAAUUGACAGGACCAGUCCAGCCCUUUCCCAACUCUCCCCAUCAUGAUGGACGGGAGCCUGGCCUUUGAGGUAAGGACAGAUGGGGUCACAGACACAGGCCUUUGAAGACAUCUGAAACCACUGCUUCUCUGGCCGUUCACUUUCAAACCGGCACUUCACCCAGAAGUUGAAGGACCAUCUGACAGAUGCAUAAGGGGUUUGGUGGUGAAGAGAGUUGGGCUAGAGAGUGUCGCAGAGCCCCGGGACUCCUGUGGGUUUAGGAUCCUGGCUGAGGGGAGUGUGGCAGGGGCUCCUCACCCACAGGCUCCAGGCUGUGUGAUCCGUGGCUGAGGAUCCAGACCCUUAGACUUGAGGCACCCUGCCCGGGGUCCCAUUUCAGGCAGGACUUUGCCUCCACAGCCCCACAGCUCUGCCUUGGACCAGAAGAUGGCAAACAAUGUAGACUACUAGUAAUAUUGAUAGGAUACUAGUAAUUUGCAAAGAAAAAUAUUCCCUGGGCCUUGUAGAAGCAGUUGAAUUGCGAUGGUGCCUAUGAACAUUGUAGGGCCGUGUGUCGUUGUUUUCAAGCUUCCCCUCUGCCUAGAGGUGACAACCCUGGUUUUGUGGUGCCCUCCUUAGUGAGCCUGGCAACAAAUAUGACAACAUGAGGGUCACUAGGAAAGAGAAAAAAAGCACAGAAUAGAUACAACUGUGAAGGGUACCCUGGUCUUCAAUUAGAGAACACUGGUCAUUUUACAAGAAGACCUAAGCCUAGCCUCUUCUAAGCUCAGUGAGAGAGGGAAGAGCAGGAAAGAGACCGGCCAGAGGUUGCCCAGGGCCCCAAGGCAGCCCUGGGAUUUGAUGGCUAUAAAUAUAAGUGUAUGAAUCAGAAUAGCACUGGGCAGGCUAGGCACGGUGGCUCACACCUGUAAUCCCAGCAUUUUUGGAUGCGGAGGUGGGUGGAUGACUCGAGCACAGGAAUUCGAGAACAGCCUGGGCAACAUGGCAAAGCCCUGUCUCUACAAAAAGUGCAAACAUUAGCCGGGUGUGGUGGUGCACACCUGUAG
rnacentral:lncRNA from 1 species